CUUAUAGAUUUUCAGUGGAAACUGGGUAUGGCUGUGAGCUCGGACAGUUGCAGAUCUCUUAAGUAUCCUUACGUUGCAGUGAUGCUAAAAGUGGCGGAUCAUUCAGGCCAUGUAAAGAACAAGUCCUUUGAAAUGACAAUUCCCCAGUUUCAGAAUUUCUACAGACAGUUCAAGGAAAUUGCUGCAAUUAUUGAAACUGUGUGAAAACUGAUUGCUAUCAUCAUUCUAAAAUCGUGGACUUCACUUUCUUCAACAGAACUGCAUAAGGAUCAAAUGAUAUUUAUUGAAUGAAAAUUGAACUUUUGUUUUUUCAUUUUUUUAAAUAAAAAAUCAGACAAACAGGAAUUAGACAAUGGUGAUGGAUUCACAACUUUGUGAAUAUUCUAAAAGCCACUGAAUUGAACACUUUAAAGGGUGAACUCUGUGGUGAGCUGCUGCCACAGCCUGGCUACUGAAGACAAGUGGUGUGGUUCCGCACCCGGGAACCGAAUCCGGGCCGCUGAAGUGGAGCGCGCUGAACUUUAACCACUAGGCCAUCAGGAUUGGCUCCCUUCUCAAACAUUUGAAACCAGACAGGAAGAUUGUGUUUCCCAGCUUCCCUUGCAGUUAAGUUGGGACCUCAUGAUUGGGCUGUGGAAACUGGACAGAAGUGUCCUAAGCCACAUCCAGUCUUUGUCAUAAAUCUUUACUUGUCAUCUUCCAAGCCCUCUCCCAUCCUUGGCUGCUGGAAAUGAAGGACUCUGAGCGAAAUCAUAAGAUGGACCCCUGAAUUACUACUGGAGGCAAACUCAAAAUAACAGCCUGACUUGUAUCAGACAGUGGUCUGAGCUCGAAACAAACUUGUGGUAAGCUGGUGAAAUUUUUGGAGUGUUUGUUAACAACAGCAACUGAGCAUACAUUUGAAUAACUCAAGAUGUAUGCAUGAAGAUUUUUUGUCUUAGUGUUUCCAGUGGCAAAAAGCAAAAUAAAGGAAACAAUAACUGUCAAUAAAGAAAUGGUUGAAUAAAUUUGGCAUAUCUAUGCUAUAGCAUAUCAUA